UAAAUGGUUGAGGUGUGCUGCAGCAUACCUCAGCCCACCCCUGGUUCCGUGCCUGCUUAGACAGAGAGAAUAGGAGAAAGAAAGAAAAGAAGAAGAAAUAGGAAGAGGGAAGAAGAAUACGUUUUUAUUUCUGGAUGGGUGCUUUCUAAGGGAGAGAUCAGAAACGAGAGAGUCAGAGAGAGGAGAGAGGAGAGAGGAGAGUUUGUUUGAAGUUAAUAGGCAAGAACUUGGUUUUGGAUUGGUUUCUUUUUGCUAAUGGAUUUGAGGUAUGAAAUGCAGAGGGCAACCUCUUUUGUUGCUCAAGCCAUGGCUCCCCGGUCUAACAACACAGCCAAAGCUAAAGCAAUAGCACUAAGGAUGAAGGCACUGCAAAUGAAAAGAGGUAAAAAAACAGUGUCGAAACCAGCUGUUGAAGAGACUGAUGCACCACCUAAAUCUGCCUUCACCAAACAUGAUCAAUAAUAUGAGAUAUUAGUGUUUUUGGGUUCCAUUUGUUGAUCAUGCCAACUGCUAUGGGUUAUUGAACUGAUGUUUACUAAGUUUAGCUCCAUUAUGAAUGUAUGUAUAGCUGUAGUAACAGAUUAAUCAAAUAUUGGUAUUUUUAUGAAUGAAUUCCAUA